GAUGAACGCUAGCGGCAGGCCUAACACAUGCAAGUCGAGGGGUAGAAGGAGCUUGCUCCUUUGAGACCGGCGCACGGGUGCGUAACGCGUAUGCAAUCUACCUUGUACAGGGGAAUAGCCCAGAGAAAUUUGGAUUAAUGCCCCAUAGUAUAUAACCUUCGCAUGUUGGUUAUAUUAAAGUUCCAACGGUACAAGAUGAGCAUGCGUCCCAUUAGUUAGUUGGUAAGGUAACGGCUUACCAAGACGAUGAUGGGUAGGGGUCCUGAGAGGGAGAUCCCCCACACUGGUACUGAGACACGGACCAGACUCCUACGGGAGGCUGCAGUUAGGAAUAUUGGUCAAUGGUCGCAAGACUGAACCAGCCAUGCCGCGUGCAGGAAGACGGUCCUAUGGAUUGUAAACUGCUUUUAUACAGGAAGAAACCCUCCCACGUGUGGGAGCUUGACGGUACUGUAGGAAUAAGGAUCGGCUAACUCCGUG
rnacentral:rRNA from 1 species